GAUGAAGAACGUAGCGAAAUGCGAUAAGUAGUGUGAAUUGCAGAAUUCAGUGAAUCAUCGAAUCUUUGAACGCACAUUGCGCCCUUUGGUAUUCCUUAGGGCAUGCCUGUUCGAGCGUCAUUUAAACCUUCAAGCUAAGCUUGGUGUUGGGUGACUGUCCGCUUCACUGCGGACUCGCCUCAAAAUUAUUGGCGGCCGGUACAUUGGCUUCGAGCGCAGCAGAAACGCGAACUCGGGCCCGUCGUAUUGGCUCCCAGAAGCUAUCUUCACAAUUUUGACCUCGGAUCAGGUAGGGAUACCCGCUGAACUUAAGCAUAUCAAUAAGCCGGAGGA
rnacentral:misc_RNA from 1 species